rnacentral:sRNA from 1 species
CCAAGAGGUACGCAGACUAAAAGCGCCACGUCUGUGGCAACGUCUGCAUGAACCGCAUCCCUGCGGU